rnacentral:tRNA from 1 species
UGCCCUAUAGCUCAAUGGCAGAGCGAGCGGUUGUUAACCGCAAGGUUGUAGGUUCAAGUCCUACUGGGGCAGCCA